CCUACGGGGGGCAGCAGUGGGGAAUAUUGGACAAUGGGGGCAACCCUGAUCCAGCCAUGCCGCGUGUGUGAAGAAGGCCCUCGGGUUGUAAAGCACUUUCAGUGAGGAAGAACGCCUGGUGGUUAAUACCCAUCAGGAAAGACAUCACUCACAGUAGAAGCACCGGCUAACUCCGUGCCAGCAGCCGCGGUAAUACGGAGGGUGCGAGCGUUAAUCGGAAUUACUGGGCGUAAAGCGCGCGUAGGUGGCUUGAUAAGCCGGUUGUGAAAGCCCCGGGCUCAACCUGGGAACGGCAUCCGGAACUGUCAAGCUAGAGUGCAGGAGAGGAAGGUAGAAUUCCCGGUGUAGCGGUGAAAUGCGUAGAGAUCGGGAGGAAUACCAGUGGCGAAGGCGGCCUUCUGGACUGACACUGACACUGAGGUGCGAAAGCGUGGGUAGCAAACAGGAUUAGAUACCCCAGUAGUC
rnacentral:rRNA from 1 species